GCUGGGGAUGUAGCUCAGUGGUAGAGCAUUUGCCUAGCAAGCAGAAGGCCUUGAGUUCAAUCCUCAGUACCAUAAGCA